rnacentral:lncRNA from 1 species
UUUCUCUGGAUUACUAGGACCUUUUAAUGGCUGUCCCAAGGGCAGCCUUGCUCUCCAUCGCAGAAGGGAGGAAGAUGGCAAGAGUUAUCAGUUUAGCCUGUUUUGAAGGAGGUACCAUAGAUCGUCCUGGGGAAAGGGUCUGGACGUCGCUGAGAAUCUGCCAAGGUCUGUUGCAUGAGGCAACCUUAGCAUGGACAUGACAUGAUUAAGCCUCAUGGACAGCUUCCCAAGUUUCUUGAACUGAGUGUUAUUUCUGGAAAUUGUAAAUGAGACAUUUGAAGAAUACACAAACUCUCUGUGCUGCAGGAGGACGAGGUUAAAAAUGACUGUCCAACUCAUCAAGCAGAAUUGCCCCAAACUCCACUCAGCCAUGGAAUAGUGUUUUUCUUCCAAGGCUCUAGAGACCACAAGGCUAGAACCCAAGAGUUAGAAAAAGCACACAUUGGGGAACUUCUUUUUUAUUUAAACCUUUCCCCCUUCUCCAAGAUCUUGUUAGUUAAACUCCUCCUCCUCAUGUUUUAAAUAUUUACAGGAGUCCCAGAAAGGUUACUCCUUCUUUAAAGGUUGUAAAAGUAUAUGCCAUGUUGUGUUUAUAAACUUUGAGAAUUACCAUCUUUCAUGCCACUUAAAUGUCUGCAUUUUGACAUAAUACAUUUUUUCAUCUUUAAUAAGAUUACUAUUCAAAUUGGUUGUUGUACCUACCUACAAUGAAUGAAAAAGAUGACAGAGUUUAGCUUUUUGCAUGUGGACAUAGGAAUGAGAAAGAAGUAAUGUUUAUUUCAGAAACAAACUGUAGCUAUGGCAACAGAUACAUGCUGUAUUUCAUCUGGGAAACAUAAGCAGCCAUGUUAGAAAAGAAGAGGUUAUUUCAAUAAUGGCUUUUCAAUAAUUCAUUGCACGAAUUUUACAAGCCAAAUUAAGAUGUACCGUCAUAGUCCAACUAAUGAGUAUUAAGUUCAUUUUGAUACUCAACAGUUAUUAUUGCUGCAAAUAAACACUCUUCUCAGGUUAUGAUUAAAAAACUG